GGCCGGAUGGUGUAGUUGGUUAUCACGUGUCCUUAACAAUUCACACUUGUUGUACUGGUUGUGUUCCGUUAUACGGACAAGGUCCUGGGAUCGUGCCCCAGUCUGGUCA